rnacentral:rRNA from 1 species
UACGAGAGGCCCAAACGUUAUUCGGAAUUACUGGGCUUAAAGAGUUCGUAGGCGGCGCGGAAAGUAGGGUGUGAAAGCCCUCGGCUCAACCGAGGAAUUGCGCCCUAAACUGCCGUGCUUGAGGAAGCUAGAGGUGAGCGGAACUGAUGGUGGAGCGGUGAAAUGCGUUGAUAUCAUCAGGAACACCGGUGGCGAAGUGCUGGACCCCAUCUGACGCUGAGGCGCGAAAGCCAGGGGAGCGAACGGG